GACUCACUAUAGGGCGAAUUGGGUACCGGGCCCCCCCUCGAGGUCGACGGUAUCGAUAAGCUUGAUAUCGAAUUCCUGCAGCCCGGGGGAUCCGCCCAGUCAGCGAGGGGAUGGUGGAAUUCCUGGUGUAGCAGUGAAAUGCGUAGAUAUCCGGAGGAAGGCCGGUGGCGAAGGCGGCCAUCUGGCGCUGAACUGACGCUGAGGCGCGAAAGCGUGGGUAGCAAACAGGAUUAGAUACCCUGGUAGUCCACGCCCUAAACGGUGGGCAUUAGGUGUAGGGCUCGUAAGGGUUCUGUGCCGUAGGGAAACCAUUAAAUGCCCGCCUGGGGAGUACGGCU
rnacentral:rRNA from 1 species